rnacentral:rRNA from 1 species
AUUGAACGCUGGCGGCAUGCCUUACACAUGCAAGUCGAACGGCAGCGCGGGGCAACCUGGCGGCGAGUGGCGAACGGGUGAGUAAUAUAUCGGAACGUACCCUGGAGUGGGGGAUAACGUAGCGAAAGUUACGCUAAUACCGCAUACGAUCUAAGGAUGAAAGUGGGGGAUUCGCAAGAACCUCAUGCUCCUGGAGCGGCCG